rnacentral:rRNA from 1 species
GACGAACGCUGGCGGCGUGCUUAACACAUGCAAGUCGAACGGGUCUGCCCUGUUUUUUGCGGGGUGGGUCAGUGGCGAACGGGUUAGUAACACGUGAGUAACCUGCCCCUCACUUCUGGAUAACCGCUUGAAAGGGUGGCUAAUACGGGGUGGUCUGGCUGUGCCGCAUGGUGUUGCUGGGAAAGAUUCGCUUUUGUGGGGUUUUGGUGGGGGAUGGGGUUGCGGCCUGUCAGCUUGUUGGUGGGGUGAUGGCCUGCCAAGGCUUUGAAGGGUAGCCGGCCUGAGAGGGGGGGCGGUCAGACUGGGACGGAGGUACGGCCCAGACUCCUGCGGGAGGCAGCAGUGGGGGGUAGUGCACAAUGGGCGGAAGCCUGAUGCAGCGACGUCGCGUGAGGGAUGGAGGCCUUCGGGUUGUGAACCUCUUUCGCCGGUGAAGAAGGUCCUGCUCUUUGUGGUGGGGUUGACGGUAGCCGGGUUAUGAAGCGCCGGCUAACUACGUG